rnacentral:rRNA from 1 species
GAUGAACGCUGGCGGCGUGCCUAAUACAUGCAAGUCGAGCGAACAGACGAGGAGCUUGCUCCUCUGACGUUAGCGGCGGACGGGUGAGUAACACGUGGAUAACCUACCUAUAAGACUGGGAUAACUUCGGGAAACCGGAGCUAAUACCGGAUAACAUGUUGAACCGCAUGGUUCAACAGUGAAAGACGGUCUUGCUGUCACUUAUAGAUGGAUCCGCGCUGCAUUAGCUAGUUGGUAAGGUAACGGCUUACCAAGGCAACGAUGCGUAGCCGACCUGAGAGGGUGAUCGGCCACACUGGAACUGAGACACGGUCCAGGCUCCUACGGGAGGCAGCAGUAGGGAAUCUGCCGCAAUGGGCGAAAGCCUGACGGAGCAACGGCGCGUGAGUGAAGAAGGUCUUCGGAUCGUAAAACUCUGUUAUUAGGGAAGAACAAAUGUGUAAGUAACUGUGCACGUCUUGACGGUACCUAAUCAGAAAGCCACGGCUAACUACGUG